GACGAACGCUGGCGGCGUGCUUAACACAUGCAAGUCGAACGGAAAGGCCCUGCUUGCAGGGUACUCGAGUGGCGAACGGGUGAGUAACACGUGGGUGAUCUGCCCUGCACUUCGGGAUAAGCCUGGGAAACUGGGUCUAAUACCGGAUAGGAGCCAUUUUUAGUGUGAUGGUUGGAAAGUUUUUUCGGUGUAGGAUGAGCUCGCGGCCUAUCAGCUUGUUGGUGGGGUAAUGGCCUACCAAGGCGGCGACGGGUAGCCGGCCUGAGAGGGUGGACGGCCACAUUGGGACUGAGCUACGGCCCAGACUCCUACGGGAGGCAGCAGUGGGGAAUAGUGCACAAUGGGCGCAAGCCUGAUGCAGCGACGCCGCGUGGGGGAUGACGGCCUUCGGGUUGUAAACUCCUUUCGCUAGGGACGAAGCUUUUUGUGACGGUACCUAGAUAAGAAGCACCGGCUAACUACG
rnacentral:rRNA from 1 species